rnacentral:lncRNA from 1 species
AUGAGAAACACUGCUUCUCAAGAGUGGUGCGUGCGUGUGUGUGUGUGUGUGUGUGUGUGUGUGUGUGUGUGUGUGUGUGUGUGUGUGUGUGUCUGUCUGUCUGUCUGUCUGUCUGUCUGUCUCUGUGUGUGUGUCUGUCUGUGUGUGUCUUUGUAUGCCUGUAGGUGGGUGACUUUCUCAGGAUUCCUAACUUGAUUCAAAUUAUUGUUGAGUUUAUGUAAAGAAUUCAUGUCUAUACAGAAGAACAAGUGUGUUCGUUCACCCUAGGUUACAAUGGUCUCCAUUUCAUUUCAGAGGAGAGAAUCAGGCUAUCUGAAUAUAAACACAAUUUGAUGUUAAUUUAUUCUAAGUACUCUGGGAUUUUGAUUGUCCUAAAGAAUUCUGCUCUGUGAAUACCAUGUUAAUUUUUUUUUUAAUUUGUGGCAGGAUUGUAGCGAAUUAUUUAAGGAAAAUAAAUUACAUGAAUGCUU